rnacentral:rRNA from 1 species
AAACUGAAGAGUUUGAUCAUGGCUCAGAUUGAACGCUGGCGGCAGGCCUAACACAUGCAAGUCGAGCGGAAACGAUGGGAGCUUGCUUCCAGGCGUCGAGCGGCGGACGGGUGAGUAAUGCAUAGGAAUCUGCCCGGUAGUGGGGGAUAACCUGGGGAAACCCAGGCUAA